AGACCUGGCAAUCUGCUCCUGUAAAGAUUUACAGCCUUGGAAACCCUAUGGGGCAGUUCUGCUCUGACCUAUAGGGUCUCUGUGAGUCAGAAUCAACUGACGGCAUGCAACAACAACAUUGUUAAUUAUUACUAAACUCAUGGAUAAGAUUAGCACACCCUCUUAAUACUAUUGCCCACAUGGUCAAAUUUAUGAGGUAAUCUGGCAGUUCCUUUAUUUUUCUUGAAGCCAUCCCUUCUUGAGUUUUCCCAUGCUCUUGUUCUAGUCUGGCCUGGUUGGUCACGGGAUCUGCCAUAGAACUGUUGUCUUGCCUGGACAUCCCCUUUGCCUCCCUCCUCUGCUUGAUCCCAUGUCUGUUUAAUCUGAGUUUCUUCCACCUUCCAGACAUUUGUUUUCAUCUCUUCUUCCACAUGUGAGGCUUUCCUUAACCCUUUGGUAAUGCUUGGCUAUCCAUUCACUUCAGAGUGAGCUAUACUCUCUGUGAGUGGGGCUUGUCAACUAGCUAGGGUGAAAAGGGGGCAAAUGCAACUUAUCUUUUAUAUUGGGAAUUCCUUAUGCAUCUGAAGGUCUUUUCUCUGAGGCUGUUUAGGUUCUGUGGAAAAAGAAACUCUCCAGUCCCUUGUGUUGGAGGGCUAAGCCCAAUAAGCCUAUCAGUGUUCUGGGAGCAAAGAGGUGACUGUGUGCGAAUGGGUCUCACUGUUCAGAACUCAGACUUUCCUUUAAUAUACCUCUCUUCAGUCUGGCACCUUAUCUUCACUCUCCAUUAAGUAUGGAACCCUUUAUUCUGGACUCUCUCCAGUUCAUCUUCCCAGGCUAAACUUCCUGGUUUUUGUUGGUUGGGGAAGGUAUAGUUACUUGGCUGCACAGGGUGGGGCAGGGCCCUGGGCAGCCUACCUGCUCUCUGUACAGACUUUCAAACAAGCUCCCAACUUUUAGUCCCACACUUCAUGGCCUGCAACCCCCUUCCUCUGUCUUUGGUGCUUUCUACUUAAGGCUUUCUGGAGUUCUGUGGGCACUAGAAUUUUUACUUAUUCCACUCUGUAACCAUUUGUCAUUCUUCUGUUCCACUUUUUUCUACAAACAAGUUGAAAUCUCUCCUCUGCUCUUGUCUUCAUUCCUGUUUGUCUUUUCAGGUCUAUAUGUUGAAAUUUUCUUUAUUGAAAUUUUCGUUUAAAGACAUGGGAAGAGAAAAUUCCAUGUAUUUCUACUAUAAGAAUUAUCCAUUCUUAAAGUAGAUAAUUGUGAUUUUUUUUUAACUAAAGAAUUUAGCAGUAUUUACUGAGAAGCGUAAUUGUGCCCUUGUUGUGUAUGAGAUCAGACCAUUCGGCAUUAUAACGAGGUCAUAUCCGUAGAACCUUAGAAUUGGAAGGGCCCCCACCUAGUGCAGAGUCUCCUCCGUGUCAUCCUGCAGGGCGGAUCCUUAGUGUCUGCAAGCACACUUCUAACCAAAGAGACCUCACUCGUCUAAAAAGAGUGAGUUUCAAAACCAUGUUGUUGUUUUAGCUGUCAAGCCAACCCUUUAUUUUUCAAACAAAAUACUGAAAAAUCCAAUAUUUAAAAUCAUAAAAAACGAACUGCUAAGGAAGGGGGAGAGACGGGGCACCGCCUGCUGGGCUUCCAUCCACUUCAUCUCCUUCUGUUGCCCCUGAGCCGCAUUCGCUGAACGUAAGGAGCACCGUUUUGAAACCACUGCCUGCAGAGCUGGUGACUCCCUUGUUGACUAGUCCUCUUCUCAGAUUGAACUUUCUACACUGUUACCAGCAGUUUGUAACGUGGAGCCGUAUACUGUUGCCAGCAGUUAGCACACAUUUUAACAGUGCUGCCAUGCGUUCAUUUUAGCUUCAAUGCCCUGGCAGAAAGGUGAUCUCAGAAUUAGAAUUAUUUUUCCAACUACCUUUCUUAUAAUACUCCAUUUAUUUCUAAAUACUGGAGGUGAGAAACACUCUGCUAUUACUAUAACAGAGAGAUUCACCAUUCAUGAAUCCUUAUCUUUAAAAGCAACAAAAUCCUGACAUACGAUGAUGUCGUUUUGGGACCUCUGGAGUCUAAAUUGAUUAAACAAUUUCAUUAUAACAAUUCUUAGAGCUAUUAAUGUGACAGAGGUGUUUAAAAUAAGAUCACAGAAAUGAAUUUCAUGUAUUGUGAGACAUCCUUGUACCAUAUAUUUUUGUUUCUAUAUUUACAGAUACAGGAACAUCAGUAAUCUCAAGUAUUCUGUAUACCAUCCUUAUUCUUAUUGUCUUGAUCAUCGUGUUAUCUAUUUAUUUUUUGAAAACCACUGGCUCCAGGUAUUGACUGAUUUUUUUUUUUCCUUCUUAUAGCUUUGUCGAAGCUAGAAAAGUAUCAGAAAUACAGAAUUGACUGACUAGGUAAAAUUAAGAUGUUAACAUCAGUUCUCCCAUAAUCAGGAAGAGUAUCCUGAAGCUGUUAGAAUGGACUUAGUUUGAUUUAAGAAGGAUUUUGUAGAUUACUGAGACAUGUAACAUGAUGAAUUAGGCCAUAUAGGGAAGGGUCUUGGGAGAUAUGGUGUCUGCUAAUUUUCUAUUUAAGAAAAGAAUUACAACAAAUCUUUCAUGUAUCAAGAGGUGUUGUAUAUAUUGUAUUACAUCAAACUUCUGAUCUUAAUUCCUUUUCUAAAAUCUGGAAUUAUCUUAUUUGGUGCAUAUGUGUAUUAACUCCAAGCAGCAUUCUCCACUUAUUUCUGAUCAUUUAUUUCUGAUUUAUUAUGACUUCUACCAAAAUCAACCACAAACAUCAAUAGUAUACUAUUUUUUUUUCCAUUUUCAAUUAAAUAAUGAGUUUUAUGCAUUCACUCCAGUUUGUUUUUCCAGGAAAUGUAAACCAAUGAAAACGGAAACUAUUCAAGUUUCUGCGGAGGAUGAAAUGCAGCCCUAUGCCAGCUAUACAGAGAAGAACAAUCAACUCUAUGAUACUGUAAACAGGGUGAUGACAUCUCAGGGGUUACAAACUGAAGUUGCUGGGAUGGAUCUCCAUACAUUAUACGUUGUUGGAAUCUAGCACUAGGACAAAUGAAUCAAGAUACGGUACAAUUACUGCAUUAAUUUUCUAAUAAUUCUAGAAUGGAAGACCCAUUUUGAAAUUAAGAGUUUUUCAAAGGUUCUAGAAGACAAAGACACUCUAAUGAAUGUGCAUUCAUAUCCUUCAACAAUUGGGACUUUAGAAUCUUGGCUGCUAUCAGCUAGUUCUCUAAAAAGCUGAUGUUAUUUUUACAAAGAAAGCAAUGUUCAUGAUAAAAUAUUAAAAAUGUACAGUACAGUAAAUAAUGAAAACCUAGUUUCCUCAAGAAGUAAGUCUCAGGAGGAACAAUCAUCAACAGUUUCUCAUGUGUUCUUCCAGAAAGUUUCUAUGUACAUGUGACAUAUCUAUAUGCCUAUAGAUAUAUUGUGCAUUUAUAUGUCUGUUUACAUAUAUAUACACAUACUCUGAUUAAGACACAAAUGGGGACAUAUUAUACACACUGUUCUGUACUUACGAAGAGCUGAUAAUAUAGUAUGUUUUAGAGAACUUUUCAUAUCAACAGAAACAGAGCUACCUUAUUCUUGUUAACGGCUACAUAGAAUUACAUUUAAUUAACCACACCCCUAGUGAUUGUUCAUAGAUAUGUCAAAUUGUAUCAAUUUAUUUUCUCUCUAACAAUGUUUGAAUGGGCCUUUCCUUAUGCUGAAGAACCGAGUUUUUAUUGAAUUGUUAUUUUAAUAUCUGCAGCAUUACCAUUUCCUCCUUUUAAAUCAACCAGUUAACUAAUAUAAUGUAAGAUUGUAGUAAGAAUUAUACUAUUUAAUCAAAUUUGGUUUAUAUUUUUCUGUCAUGUUUAUGAAAGUGUAUUAUGUGUGUGUGUGAGAGAGAGAGAGGGUGAACACGUGUGGGGAACGUUAGUGUCUUCUAAACUUGUUAUGUCUCUACAGAGGUAUAGAUUUCCAAUACAUAACAGUUUUACAGCUGUAAUAAACUGGAAAUGUGUAUUUUUAUGAUGUACAUUAUAUUGUGAUGUAUAUAUCAAAUAACAAAUGUUUAUUGACUGUAUAAACAACUAAAUAUAUAUUAUGGCAGACAUGGGGUGUCUAUAAAAUGUGGUUUAUGUGCUAAGAGAAUGGCCGUGGGAAUGACAUCUGUUUUUCUGUGGAGUAAAAUAGUGGGAAUGUGUGUACGAAUCAUUUUUUUAAAUUAUAAAAAAUUGUGCUUCUGUUUGUUCCCUGGCAGGAAAAUCACUAGACUUUUUUCAUCAUAAUAGAAAUUAAAACAAAAUCCAUUCAUUCUUCCAUUGUGCCAUUUUUACAGCUAUUUUAUCUUAUUAGUAUGUUUUCCUCCCCCCGCCCCCAUUUUAGUUACUCUAGGCUUUAUUCUUAAAGUGAUUUUUAGUCUAUUUGGGAUACAUAACUAAUAUAAGGACAGUUGGCACAUGGUGUUUUGACUAAAUCAUUUUGACUUGGCUAAAUAACCAAUCCAUUAUAUUUCAACAUAUAAAUAUUACCAAGCAGUGUGUACAAUAGACAUCAUAAAUCUAUCCUUGACCUUUUAUUAGUUGUUUAUUCAUCCCUGGUUGGGUUGAGGUUCACAUUAGUUAGGUUCAAGAACAUAUGUUUAAAUACUACUGAAAAUAACAAAACAAAACCUAAAAUCCAUCUUAAUAUUGUCAAAACAGCCAUGUCAAACAAUACCAUAGUAAAAACAAGUUAGUUUUUAAGUGCUCAAUUGUAUUGUCCAGGAAAUACAUGUAUUAGAGUCUCCCAGAAUUGGAGUGUUGAAUGUGGUUGAACAUUAGACUUACAUGCAAAGAUUAAAAAAUUAUAGUUUCCCCAAAUGCAGUCUAGACCUGCUGAAUCAGAUCUAGAGAUUGGACCAGCUGUGUCAGGUUCCCCAGGAAGCAGAGGCAGAGAUGGAGUUAGGAGUGACAAAGGUUAAUUGGAGGAGAAAGGUUAUAUCUGUGAAAGA